GUGGGGUACAGCUCAGAGGUAGAGUGCUUGACCACCACACAGGACACCCUAGGUUCAAUCCCAAGCCUCUGAUA
rnacentral:tRNA from 1 species